CCAAGUGGUGACGAAGCUGGGUUUCUUAAUCCCAUUGGCUGAAGGCUGUUCCUGAUGGAGAGUUUCCUGGCACCUCCGCCCCGCCCCCCCCCCCCCCCCCCCACUGUGUGUGCAGAUGGAGAGGCCCCCAGCCAUUGGAGAGAGCCCUGAGGUCAAGAGAUGCAGGUGCUGGCAGCUAGCACAGGGUCAUGAUAGGGAUGCGAGCAGCACCUGCCACAAUACCAAAUGGGCAGAUGGACCCACAUCUGUAGCUCAGGAAUACCCCCCAUAUGCCAAGCCCUUGAGGCCUGCCCCUGGCUUGCACUGAAGAGGCUCUCCCAUGCUGGCGAUCUGCAGGCGCUCCAGGGGGAAUGUACGACACGAAAUGAUCAAUCAUGAAACCAUUUUACUGUCAUUAAAACCUCUUUGUGAGUGAUCACUGUUCUUUCUUCAUAUGAGAUAAAAAU
rnacentral:lncRNA from 12 species